AUACGUAGGUGGCAAGCGUUGUCCGGAUUUACUGGGCGUAAAGGGUGCGUAGGUGGAUAUUUAAGUCAGAUGUGAAACCCCUGGGCUCAACUCAGGGACUGCAUUUGAAACUGGAUAUCUGGAGUGCAGGAGAGGUAAGUGGAAUUCCUAGUGUGGCGGUGAAAUGCGUAGAGAUUUGGAAGAACACCAGUGGCGAAGGCGACUAGCUGAACUGUAACUGAGCCUGAGACACGAAAGAGUGAGUAGCAAGCAGGGUUAGAUGCCCUGGUGGUCCACGACGUAAACGAUGAGUACUAGGUGUAGGGGGUAUCGGCUCCCGCUGUGCCGCAGUUAACACAAUAAGUACUCCGCCUGGGAAGUACGAUCGCAAGAUUAA
rnacentral:rRNA from 1 species